GUGAAUCAUCGAAUUUUUGAACGCAAAUUGCGCUUCCUAGCAUCCCGGGGAGUGUGCCUGUUUGAGGGUCAGUAUUAACAAAAAAAUCGGUUUGGUUGCAAAUUGUGACGUUUCCGGAUUUUGGGCUAUCUUAACUUUUGGGGUUAAGGGGCUUAAAAUUGACCUUUUUUGCGCAUUUUUAGACGUACAUAAAUUUUUUUUUGUUUGUUGAUGUGUGAUGUCAAAAUCUUAUUUAUU
rnacentral:misc_RNA from 1 species